CAAGAAAUUGCACAGGCUUAUAUAGAUUCUUUUGCACCUAGAGACGGAGAUCAGGAUAAUCCUGACAAGGUUCCAGAUUUUGUAGAAACCAUGGUGUACAAUUCCACAGAAGCUGUUUGCAUGACCGGUAGAUAUGCUUCGAAAGAAGAGGCCAAGCACUUCCAUAGACAGCUGUUUGCAUGACCGGUAGAUAUGCUUCGAAAGAAGAGGCCAAGCAGAAGGGCAAUGUGAUCAACAGUGUCGGUUGGUGGUUCAAACCAUGGUUUUACCAGCAUGCUCAAACUGCACUGAAGAGAGGGG
rnacentral:lncRNA from 1 species